GCGAUUUUCUGAGCGUCAAGCUGAGGCUGUGACGGAAUGCAAAAGUGCGUUGGUCUGUCUCUCUGUCUGCUUUUCGUGAAUCGUAGGCGUUGGCCCACAGCAAUAAGCCGACCGUCUCCACUCCACCUUCCUAUCACACGUACCGCCACCUUGUCAAGUCGGAGAACAGACAGACCACAUUCUUGGCCUUUGUCAGUCCAAAUUGCUAAUACAACACAACCUUAAAUGGUGCAGUUACAUUACAGCGGUUUGCCAGGACAGUCGUGCUUUUCACAAUACAGGGAAACAGAAGGAGAUGCAGGCAGAAAUAGAGAUGAAGAGCAGAACAACAGGCAUGUGGCUGAGCGACGUGGUUAGAAAAGUCCAGAACAGGGAUCGGUGGAGGGAGUCAGUUUUCUGCUAAGUCUUUUAACUCUUACAAUAUGGCGCGCCAAAUCAGCUGUCGCGCAAAAAAUCUUUCGAUUGUUUACCGACAUAACAUGAAACCUCAGUAAAUCUAUCUUAUAAUCCA